rnacentral:rRNA from 1 species
UACGGGGGGAGCAAGCGUUGUUCGGAUUUACUGGGCGUAAAGGGCGCGUAGGCGGCCACCGCAAGUCGACUGUGAAAUCUCCGGGCUUAACCCGGAACGGUCAGCCGAUACUGCGGGGCUAGAGUGCAGAAGGGGCAACUGGAAUUCUCGGUGUAGCGGUGAAAUGCGUAGAUAUCGAGAGGAACACCUGCGGCGAAGGCGGGUUGCUGGGGCUGACACUG